CCUGCCACCUGUUGACUUGCACAUUUCCAUUGCAGGCGCUUCCAGGGGCUGCUGAAGGGCAAGAGCCAGAGAGCUCCUCUGAGUACAGCAGGGCACGGGAAGCUCCUCAGGACCUGCAGCAAGACACCAUCAGGAGAAAGCAGAGCUGCGAGGAGGAGAGGGACAGCCAGGCAGACAUUGAAAGGCAAAAGGCGGAUCCCAAGCUUGAAGAGACUCCUGAAGAAAUGUCACCUGCUGGGCUCAAUUCUGGAACACCUGAUGGGCACAGGGGACAUUCUUCGGAGGAGAAAAGUUUUGUUUCUGUUUAGCUUCACACUGAGAGUUGUUAGAGAUCAUUAUAGUUAGUAUAGUAUAGUACAGCUAGCAUAAUAUAUUACAGUAUAGUUAGUGUAGUAUAGUAAGCAUCAUAUAGUGUAGUACAGUAUAGUUAGCAUAAUUUAGUAUAGUUAGCAUAGUAUAGUUAGCAUAGUAUAGCAGUUAGAGUUGUAGUUGCUACGUGAGAGUUAGAGUUGUUAUUGCAGUUCCAGUCUUACCGUUGUUUGAGUUGAAGUUGUUGUUGAGUUGAAGUUGUUGUUCCAGUUGUAGGUGCUAAGGCUCUAGUAGGAAUUGUUCCAGUUUGAGUUGUUCCAGUUGUUGUUCACUUGUAGUUCUAGAAAAGAA